AUUGAACGCUAGCGGGAUGCUUUACACAUGCAAGUCGAACGGAGUGGCGGACGGGUGAGUAAUAUAUCGGAACGUGCCCAGUAGCGGGGGAUAACUUCUCGAAAGAGUGGCUAAUACCGACUACUAUUGGAGCGGCCGAUAUCGGAUUAGCUAGUUGGUGGGGUAAAGGCUCACCAAGGCAACGAUCCGUAGCUGGUUUGAGAGGACGACCAGCCAGUCUGGGACAUAGACACUGGCCAAACGCCGACGCAAGGCAGCAUGUGGGAAUUGUGGGCAAUGGGAGAAGCCCUGAUCAAGGCAUCCCGCAUGGGUACCGAAGGCCUUGAGGUUAAAAAGUAGUUUUGGCAGAGAAGCGGUAUCUGCAGAAUAAGCACCGGCUAACUACGUGCCAGCCGCCGCGGUAAUUC
rnacentral:rRNA from 1 species